GUUAUAAUUCUAGCCGAAACAACCUAAUCCUACCAAUAAACCAAAUAAACCAUUUAAUCAAAGAGUAUAGGUGAUAGAAAUUUUUUAAGAGCAAUAGAGAAAGUACUGUGAAGGAAAGAUGAAAUAAAAUUGAAAUAGAUAAUAAACAAAAGAAAGAAAAGAUUAAACCCUCUACCUUUUGCAUAAUGGUCUAGUAAGUCUAACCUAACAAAAAGAAAUAAAGUCAGCCCCCCCGAAACUAGACGAGCUACUUAAAAACAGCACUAUUAGAGCCAACCCGUCUCUGUGGCAAAAGAGUGGGACGAUUUUUGAGUAGAGGUGAAAAGCCUAACGAGCCUAGUGAUAGCUGGUUGCUUGAGAAAUGAAUAUAAGUUCAGCUUAAAGCACUCUAAAUUUAACAAAAAAUAAAAAUAGCACUUUAAAGUUAGUUAAUAGGGGUACAGCCCUAUUAACAAAGGACACAACCUACACCCUGAAUAAAGAUUAUAUUAAUAAAAGAAAUUAACCGUGUAGGCCUAAAAGCAGCCAUCACAAGAAAGCGUCAAAGCUCAGCUUAAUAACCCCCCUUAUUAUACGAAUAAAAAAAUCUAAAUUCACAAAAAUAUCAAGCCUAUCUACUAAGUAGAUGAGUUUAUACUAGAAUGAGUAACAAGAAAACAUUCUCUGUAUGCAAGCGUAAAUCAGAACGAAAAAAUCACUGAUAAUUAACGGACACAAAUAUUUAGCUACAAGAAAAGCAUAUUUAAACAACCGUUAACCCGACACAGGAGCAUUUAAGAAGAUUAAAAGAUUAAAAAGGAACUCGGCAACCAAGAAUUUCGCCUGUUUACCAAAAACAUCGCCUCUUGCUACACCCAGUAUAAGAGGUCUCGCCUGCCCAGUGAUAAUUUUAACGGCCGCGGUAUCAUGACCGUGCAAAGGUAGCGUAAUCACUUGUCUUUUAAAUAAAGACCCGUAUGAAAGGCAAAACGAAAAUUCAACUGUCUCUUUAAUCUAAUCAGUGAAAUUAAUCUCUCCGUGCAGAAGCGGAGAUAACCAUAUAAGACGAGAAGACCCUAUGGAGCUUUAAACAUGAAAUUAACCACACAAACCAACAACCAACAGGUAAAAAAUAAAAAUGUGUGGCCAUACCCUGAGUUUUCGGUUGGGGCGACCACGGAAGAAGAAAAUCCUCCGAGAUAAAUAACUUAGAACAACACUUCAAAGACUAAAACACUUGCUAUAAAAUGAUCCACUAAGUGACCAACGAACCAAGUUACCCUAGGGAUAACAGCGCAAUCCUUUCUAAGAGUCCAUAUCGACGAAUGGGUUUACGACCUCGAUGUUGGAUCAGGACACCCAAAUGGUGCAGCCGCUAUUAAAGGUUCGUUUGUUCAACGAUUAAAGUCCUACGUGAUCUGAGUUCAGACCGGAGUAAUCCAGGUCAGUUUCUAUCUAUAACAAAUUUUUUCUAGUACGAAAGGACCGAAAAAAUAGAGCCCAUUGUGAACAACGCUCUUAUAUUACUGAAGACAAAUAAAGUCCUACAAAAAACACACCUUUAAAAUAAAGGACAA
rnacentral:rRNA from 1 species